GACGAACGCUGGCGGCGUGCCUCAAACAUGCAAGUCGGGCGGGGGUUGGCUGCUUGCGCAAGCAGCGGUUCAGCUCUAGCGGCGAACGGGUGAGUAACACGUGGGCAACCUGCCCCACAGACGGGGACAACCUCGGGAAACCGGGGCUAAUACCCGGUACGCUCCUCGGGCGGCAUCGCCUGGGGAGGAAAGGUCGCAAGACGCUGUGGGAUGGGCCCGCGGCCUAUCAGCUUGUUGGUGGGGUGACGGCCUACCAAGGCUAAGACGGGUAGCUGGCCUGAGAGGGUGGUCAGCCACACUGGGACUGAGACACGGUCCAGACUCCUACGGGAGGCAGCAGUUGGGAAUCUUGGGCAAUGGGCGCAAGCCUGACCCAGCGACGCCGCGUGGGGGAUGAAGGCCUUCGGGUCGUAAACCCCUACGUCAGGAGGGAAGAAGCCACCGCAA
rnacentral:rRNA from 1 species